GUAGGGUCCAAGCGUUAUCCGGAAUCAUUGGGCGUAAAGAGCUCGUAGGCGGUUCAGCAAGUCGGCUGUGAAAGUCCGAGGCUCAACCUCGGAAUUGCAGUCGAUACUGCUGUGACUUGAAUUCGGUAGAGGAGAACGGAAUUCCACGUGUAGCGGUGAAAUGCGCAGAUAUGUGGAGGAACACCAGUAGCGAAGGCGGUUCUCUGGGCCGAAAUUGACGCUGAGGAGCGAAAGCGUGGGGGGAGCAAACGGGAUUAGAUACCCUGGUAGUCCACGCCGUAAACGUUGGAUACUAGGUGUGGCGGUCUUACCAAUGACUGCCGUGCCGAAGCUAACGCAUUAAGUAUCCCCGCCUGGGAGUACGGCCGCAAGGCUA
rnacentral:rRNA from 1 species